GACAGAUUCUCUAUCCAGUGGGUAGCAGGUGAUCCACUGUGAGCUACGACCUGCUCAGAACUCAAGCUAAACAGGUCUGGGCCUGGUUAGUGCUCGGAUGAGAGACCUCCCACGAAGACUUAGGAUGCUGCCU
ensembl:rRNA 5S_rRNA 5S ribosomal RNA